AUGUUGCCACUGAAGUCAACCCUUCUGAAUAGUUUCUCACCACUCUUACUAUUGAUCAAUCUGCUCCUGGCCUAAAGGCAAUUCUCAGCUUCAAACUUCCUGAUCAGAGGUCCGACAAGAUAGAAAAACUCAGUGUAGUCAGAAAUUGGAAGAAGGACAAGGUGUGCUAAUGUUUCUCUCUUGCAAUAACUUUGUGCUAGUUGCUCACAAGUUCCCUCCGCACAAGUGGCCUAUAGAAGCAAAUAUAUGUGCUUA